GUUGUAUGGUUAAGUGACUAAGCGUACACGGUGGAUGCCUUGGCAGUCAGAGGCGAUGAAAGACGUAGUAACUUGCGAUAAGCCCAGAUUAGGUAGUAACAACCAUUUGAGUCUGGGAUUUCUGAAUGGGGAAACCCACGUGCAUAAGCACGUAUCCUUACCUGAAUACAUAGGGUAAGGAGGCGAACCGGGGGAACUGAAACAUCUAAGUACCCCGAGGAAAAGAAAUCAACCGAGAUUCCGAAAGUAGCGGCGAGCGAAAUUGGACUAGCCCUUAAGCUUUACACGCGUUAGACGAACGGUCUGGAAAGUCCGACGAUACAGGGUGAUAGUCCCGUAGUUGACGACGUGUGUUCAGUGAAAUCGAGUAGGGCGGGACACGUGAUAUCCUGUCUGAAUAUGGGGGGACCAUCCUCCAAGGCUAAAUACUACUGACUGACCGAUAGUGAACCAGUACCGUGAGGGAAAGGCGAAAAGAACCCCUGUGAGGGGAGUGAAAUAGAACCUGAAACCGUGUACGUACAAGCAGUAGGAGCAGGCUUUGUCCUGUGACUGCGUACCUUUUGUAUAAUGGGUCAGCGACUUAUAUUCAGUGGCAAGGUUAACCAUCUAGGGGAGCCGUAGGGAAACCGAGUCUUAACUGGGCGUUCAGUCUCUGGAUAUAGACCCGAAACCAGGUGAUCUAGCCAUGGGCAGGUUGAAGGUUGAGUAACAUCAACUGGAGGACCGAACCGACUAAUGUUGAAAAAUUAG
rnacentral:rRNA from 1 species